GACGAAGGGGGCUAGCGUUGUUCGGAAUUACUGGGCGUAAAGCGCGUGUAGGCGGUUGUUCAAGUCAGAUGUGAAAGCCCCGGGCUUAACCUGGGAACUGCGUUUGAAACUGGGAGACUUGAGUGUGGCAGAGGGGGGUGGAAUUCCACGUGUAGCAGUGAAAUGCGUAGAUAUGUGGAGGAACACCGAUGGCGAAGGCAGCCCCCUGGGUUAACACUGACGCUCAUGCACGAAAGCGUGGGGAGCAAACAGG
rnacentral:rRNA from 1 species